GUGGGGAAACGGAGUCAACCUUUGAGACCUGCUUGUUCAUGUCUGUUUCAUGGAUGCGGAAGUGGAGGCUCAGCAGGGUUGGAGGUUCCCAGAGUCUCCCAGCUGAAAUAGAAAUGCUUGGUGAGGUUAGGGGUGUCUGAGCUGAAGAGCAGCCAGUGACAGGCCUGGGAUCAUCUGACACAGCCCAAGUGACAAGGCCUUGGAAACUUUUGGUCUCUGCAGCAGCAACCGGAUUUCAGCCUGGGCCUCCGACAUCUUGGGCUGGGUACA